rnacentral:rRNA from 1 species
UACGUAGGGAGCAAGCGUUGUUCGGAUUUACUGGGCGUAAAGGGCUCGUAGGUGGCCAACUAAGUCAGACGUGAAAUCCCUCGGCUUAACUGGAGAAGUGCCGUGGAUACUGCUGGCCUCGAGGAGGGUAGGGGCAUCUGGAACGGUCGGUGGAGCGGUGAAAUGCGUUGAUAUCGACCGGAACUCCGGUGGCGAAGGCGAGGUGCUGGGCCCUUUCUGACGCUGAUGCGCGAAAGCGUGGGGAGCGAACAGG